rnacentral:rRNA from 1 species
UACGUAGGGUGCGAGCGUUGUCCGGAAUUAUUGGGCGUAAAGAGCUCGUAGGCGGUUUGUCGCGUCUAUCGUGAAAACUGGAAGCUUAACUUUCAGCGUGCGGUGGAUACGGGCAGACUUGAGUUCGGUAGGGGAGACUGGAAUUCCUGGAUGUAGCGGUGAAAUGCGGCAGACGUAGUCAGGAGGAACACCGGUGGCGAAGGCGGGUCUCUGGGCC